rnacentral:piRNA from 1 species
UGAAAAUUCCUAGGGAGCACAGAACUU